rnacentral:rRNA from 1 species
UUCCCUACGGGGCGCAGCAGUGGGGAAUAUUGCACAAUGGGGGAAACCCUGAUGCAGCAACGCCGCGUGAGUGAAGAAGUCAUUCGUGAUGUAAAGCUCUAUCAGCAGGGAAGAAAAUGACGGUACCUGAGUAAGAAGCCCCGGCUAACUACGUGCCAGCAGCCGCGGUAAUACGUAGGGGGCAAGCGUUAUCCGGAUUUACUGGGUGUAAAGGGAGCGUAGACGGCAUAGCAAGUCUGAAGUGAAAGCCCGUGGCUCAACCGCGGAACUGCUUUGGAAACUGUUAAGCUGGAGUACUGGAGAGG